rnacentral:rRNA from 1 species
GUGUCAGCAGCCGCGGUAAUACGUAGGUGGCAAGCGUUGUCCGGAAUUAUUGGGCGUAAAGCGCUCGCAGGCGGUCCUCUAAGUCUGAUGUGAAAUCUCGCGACUCAACCGCGAACGGUCAUUGGAAACUGGAGGACUUGAGUACAGAAGAGGAGAGUGGAAUUCCACGUGUAGCGGUGAAAUGCGUAGAGAUGUGGAGGAACACCAGUGGCGAAGGCGACUCUCUGGUCCGUAACUGACGCUGAGGAGCGAAAGCGUGGGGAGCGAACAGGAUUAGAAACCCCCGUAGUCC